UCUCCCCGGGGAGGUGGCGCCUCAAGGUCGACCUCUGCUGUGAUGCAGACAGGAUCCUGCUGCAGUCCCCUCAGUCCACUUAGUAAAUUGCUGUGUGGGCCAAGAUGUGGACUCCGCCGGCCCCGACCCUCCGCUGUUCCCGGUCCCGGAUUAGCUAAUGAAUACCCGCGUAGCCACAGACCCCGAGCCCGCAGACUGCGCUCAGAUGCCAGCACUGAGGGUUAUUUUAUUUUAGCCCAUCUUCAAACAGUGAGGAGGUGGAAGCUGAGGUUCCUUUCUCCACGCACCUUCCAGCGACUUCUGCUCAAGAACUGACCUCUAUGUCUGCCUCCCAACGCUGGCAUCGCACCUUGCUCUGCGAGAGACCCUUGUGUCAGCGCUCUUGAGCUGUAUUGAUUUUCAGAAGACUUUUAAGUAUAAAUCACAUUUUCCCCAAACUGAAUCACAACUCUAACAAAUCCCAGCUACGCAGAAAAGCCUAGUUGGGUCCUGUGGUAUAACCUAAAUUGAUAUUCUCCAUAAAUCCACAGCUAUUGCAUUCAUAUAUUCACAUUUCCUAUUCAAGGUGGUAAAGGAAGUGCAAUUUUAAAGAAAUGAUUAUUUAUACUCCCUGGUGUUCAGGCUUGAGGGGUUCAAGAGACAUUCAGACAGCUCUCAGAAGAACAUAAACCUUGCAAAAGUACAUGGAAUUUAUCAACGACAUUGACAUAGGGCCCACGUGACGUAUAUGUUCAAUAUUAAAGACGUUUGCUCUCUCUAAUAGUUAAAAGCCACGAGGGAAAUUUGUAAAAACUCCAGUCUAAUUAAAGUUUGUACUUGAAAUUCCAGAUUCCAUGUGGCGUGAACAUUUCUGAGCUUUUCAUCAGAAGAGGAAGGGUCGGGUUUUCAAGUAGACGCGUGUAAAGACUUCGGGACAGAGGCACCUGCGGCUUGAACGAGUGGCCCCGUUAGCUCCUGGGGAAACAAUGUCAUUUUUAGCAUGCAGUGAAUGAGUCCCAUGUAUCAGCCACUGUCCACGACUGGGAAGAAAAGGUUGAAUGAGAUCCCGUCCUUCUCUUGAAUAUGCAGACCAGAUCAAGAGCAUCCUUCCUCCGUGUCUACCCCAGAAGCUGCCUGACUUCUAGAUGAUGCCAGCACCUGCAGUCCUGACGCAUCUCUGCCUUCUGAAACUGCACGUUCUGCCUGCCAGCAAUUCACAGAUACACGAACACUCCCAUGUCUUAUUUAAAUUGUAAACCUUUCUCGAUCCAGCCUCUCUGCGGAUUAUAGCCUCUCCCUCCCUCUGCAGUGAACUUCCGGAAAGUUUCAAAGUGCAGUCUGCAUUCUUUAUCAACUUCCUCCUCCUUCAUCUCCUUCACCCUCAGACCCUGCAAAACUCCACUCAGAGCCAGCACACUGCACAGAUGUCUCUCAGUCCCCCCUCUUCCCCUGGCCUUGACAGCUUUGCACACUGGGGACUGCAUGCUCUGUCCUUGACUUGGGGUUUCCUGGCAGCACCUGGAGGGGCCUGGCUGCAACUCUUCUCUGCUAAGGUUCCCAUGAAUCCCUGGAGUCUUUCAUGGUGUGAACGGCUACUUUUUUUGGGUCGUGUUUAUUGAAAAGUUUCAGAAACUUCUGCAUCCUUAGUUCCCCAAGUUAGGGUUUUUAACUAUUACUUCUCUCUGGAGGGAAUCAGGGCUGGUUGGAGAAGGCUGAUUUCGUAAACAGAAUGGGGUAACCUCUAACACAGCCUUGCACUGGAAAGCAGGGAUGCACUAGGAGCCUUCUGAGGUCUUGGGACAAGCUGGGGCAAAACUGGCACAGCUUAAUGUCACAAACAGCCGUAACUGCAGUGGCUCCAAAACAUUUCAAUUACGUUGAAGUCUAUUUGUUCAUAAUGUUAUUUUCUAAAAUACAUUGAUUACCUUUGAAGAGUGCUAAGGAACCCAACUCAUUAUUUUUAAAAGCUGGCAAAGAAAAGAAACGAAGUGACCAUUUAUUAUCUUGACUUUCUUGUACAAACUAUUCCCAGACUAUAACCAAAUAAUUGAUGAUGGCAAGUUUCUCUCCAUAGAUGCAAGCCAGCUAAUAAGUGAGGCAGGGAUGUUAGAAUUAGAAUAGCACAGUUUUGCAGGCCCUUAUGAUUUAGUGAAUCUUGGCAUUGAAUGUAUAUGGCAGAGGGACAGAGGGAGAGAGAGAGCAAACCCAUCCCAGAUGGAAGCCCACCACGCUGCCUGUAGCCUGUCCUUCCUCAGAUAAUCAAACCUGACUCUGGCCAAGCCUGUACAGCAUAGGAUUCUCCAGGGGCCCAAAUCUGGCCCACAUUUGUAGAAAUAAAAGUUCUAUGGAAGAUAGCCACAUGCAUUUGUUCAGGGAGCUGUGACAGGCAGUGUCAGCCACAGAGCUUCGUGUAUUUACCAUCAC